GAGAGCCUGCGGGACCCCGCGGUCAGCCCCGCUCACCCGCCCCGGCCCCGCCCGCCCGCGGACUCCUCCAAACUGAAAGAGAAACCGGUUCCGGGUCCGUUCUGUUCCCGAACCUCGGACUUGGGACCCGGGACGUCAGCGUCCCUGUGUCGGGACGUGGAGGGGUCGUGACCUCCGACCCGGGGUCACUCACCGCCCUUGCUCUGGUUGUAGUAGCCGAGCAGGGUCCUCAGGUCCACUCGGAAACUCUGCUCAUUGCCCUUGGCUUUCUGUGUCUCCCGCUCCCAAUACUCGGGCCCCUCCUGCUCCAUCCACCGCGCCCGCGGCUCAUAUCUCGGAUUCUCCGCGUCGCUGUCGAAGCGCACGAACUCCGUGUCGUCCACGUAGCCGACUUCCAUGUACCGGGGCUCCCCGAGGCCGGGCCGGGACACGGCGGUGACGAAAUACCUCAGCGAGUGUGGGCCUGGGGGCGGCGCGCGGUGAGACCCGGACCACCUCACCAGACCCCGGGCGGCUGCGCGGGCUGAGAGGGGAGCAGGGCGCGGGACUCGGGUGGAGAAGGGGCGGAGGGUCCGGUGGGCGACCCGAGGACGCGGCUUCCCCGGUGCCGCCCCUCCCCUCAGAGGCCGUUUCCCUCCCGGCCCGGUACUCACCCGCGCGGGUCUGAGUCGGAGCCAGGGCGGCCGCCAACAGCAGGAGCAGCGUGCACGGUACCAUCGCACCUGUCGGCGAUUCGCGACUUCUGAGUUCUGCGGGCUGCGUGGACUUUAUAUCCAGCGUCCGCGGCGACACUGAUUGGUUCUUGGUGAUCGCGCCACCCAAUGGGGGUAAGAGCUGACUGCGCGUCAACAGUGUCCGGACAGAAGGACCUGACCCAGUUUCUCUCAAGGUGCUCAGCAGCAGGCUGUGGAUCAGCUGUGUGGUUUCCUGAUGUGAACAUUCCAAUGGUGGCUGGAGAGAUGGCUCAGAGCUGAGAGCACGUGUUCCUGUUGCAGAGGAUCCAGGGUGAGUUCCAUCAGCACGUGGCGGCUGUCAACCAUCUGCAACUUCAGUUCCAAUGGACCCAAUGCUUGUGUACCUACAUACUCAUGUACAAAAAAAUAAUUCUAAUAAAAAAUUUAAACAUA